AAACCGCGAACGGCUCAUUAGAACAGCUAUAAUUUACUCGAUCUUGAACCCACUACAAGGAUAACUGUGGUAAUUCUAGAGCUAAUACUUGCACCAAAGCUGUCCCACCAGGGCAGUGCAUUUAUUGGAGCAAAACCAGGCGGCUUCGGCCGUUCUUGCUGACUCAGAAUAACUAAGCUGACCGCAUGGGCUUGUCCCGGCGGCGUGUCGUUCAAGUGUCUGCCUUAUCAACUUUCGAUGGUAGUGUACGUGACUACCAUGGUUGUGACGGGUAACGGAGGAUAAGGGUUCGACUCCGGAGAAGGCGCCUGAGAAAUGGCGACUACGUCUAAGGAUGGCAGCAGGCGCGCAAAUUACCCACUCUCGGUUCGAGGAGGUAGUGACGAAAAAUAACAAGGCCGUUCUCUACGAGGCCGGCCAUUGGAAUGGGUACAAUCCAAACCCUUUAACGAGUAUCAAUGAGAGGGCAAGUCUGGUGCCAGCAGCCGCGGUAAUUCCAGCUCUCAAAAUGCAUAGAACCAUUGCUGCGGUUAAAAAGCUCGUAGUUGGAUCUGUGCCGGCUCCGUGGUCCACCCUGACGGGCGGUACUGCGCGAGUCGGCUUUGGGCCGGUCUUCGGCCGGUGGCCUUCAUUGGUUCGCCGUCCGUGGCUGGCUGGUUUACUUUGAGCAAAUCAGAGUGCUCAGCACAGGCGUCUUGCCGGAAUGUUCGUGCAUGGAAUAAUAGAACAGGAUCACGGUCCUCUUUUAUUGGUUUUGUGGACUGAGAUAAUGGUUAACAGAGACGAACGGGGGGCAUUCGUAUUGCUGCGUGAGAGGUGAAAUUCUUGGACCGCAGCAGGACGGACUACAGCGAAAGCAUUUGCCAAGCGCGUCUUCAUUAAUCAAGAACGAAAGUCAGAGGUUCGAAGGCGAUCAGAUACCGCCCUAGU
rnacentral:rRNA from 1 species